CCUACGGGGGGCAGCAGUGGGGAAUAUUGGACAAUGGGCGAAAGCCUGAUCCAGCAAUGCCGCGUGAGUGAUGAAGGCCUUAGGGUUGUAAAGCUCUUUUACCAGGGAUGAUAAUGACAGUACCUGGAGAAUAAGCUCCGGCUAACUCCGUGCCAGCAGCCGCGGUAAUACGGAGGGAGCUAGCGUUGUUCGGAAUUACUGGGCGUAAAGCGCACGUAGGCGGUUUUUCAAGUCAGGGGUGAAAGCCCGGGGCUCAACCCCGGAAUUGACCUUGAAACUGGAUGACUAGAAUCUUGGAGAGGUAAGUGGAAUUCCGAGUGUAGAGGUGAAAUUCGUAGAUAUUCGGAAGAACACCAGUGGCGAAGGCGACUGACUGGACAAGUAUUGACGCUGAGGUGCGAAAGCGUGGGGAGCAAACAGGAUUAGAUACCCGAGUAGUC
rnacentral:rRNA from 1 species